rnacentral:lncRNA from 10 species
GAGUACGCCCAUGGGAUUGCUGGAUUAUAUACUAGCACAAUUUUUAGUUCUUUGAAUAACCUCCAAACUUUUCUCCAUAGUAGUUUUAUUAAUUUACCUUCCCACCAACAGUGUAGAAGGGUUUUUUUUUUUUUUUCUUUUUCUCCACAUCCUCAUCAGCAUUUGUUAUUGCCGGAUUUUUAGAUAUAAGCCAUUUUAACUGGGUACCCAGAGAUGCUCUCCACACCACACCACUGCUGCCAGAGAGUGAAGAAGAGGUGGCGUUGGUGAUUAAGGACUUCUUCUAUUUCUUCAGUUCUUCUUUCAGCAAUAUAAAACUAAAACCAGGUCCUAUUAUAAAUGAUUCCCAGUCAUCUUCCAUCUCCCAAACCUGCCGAUGCAACCUUAGCCUUUCUGCUUUCUUUCCAAGGUACCAAACCACUUGUGUGACAGUUGAAAACCCAGAUGCUCUGUUUAUAUAUUUUUUCAGAUUAUUAGUUACUAAAACGAAAGAAAACUGUCUCCUUCUCCUCAAGAGGAAAUAAUACACAUUGAAAUGGACUAUGAUUGGACUGUGUUCACAAAUGAGGAAAGUCGUUAUAUUUAAACCAAUCCAGGAAGGAGCUUCUGUCAAGAGGACCUGUACUCAAUGAAUCAAUCAAUGUAUUUUUUUUCUACCCAUCCCAGCCUAAGUGUGCUAAUUAUUGUUUUGUGUCCCUGCAAAAUAUGGUUAUCCAGAAAAUAGCAGGAGUUCAAGCUUUAGAUUUAGGCUUACAAGGAAGUAGAAUAGAAUGCCUAUUGAAUUUUAAGCCUAAGCUGCAUUGGAGUGUGUGAUAGGUGGUAUUUAGGAGUGCCCUAGAUAAGAAUGAAAAUGAAUCUGUAAUCCAAAAAUAAAAUCUUAGUCUCCCUAACUGACUAAGCAGACCCCUCUGGGCCAAGGGAACCUCAGAGAAACCUGAAAAUUUGAAUUGUAAGACAUAAUCGGAGGAGGUUGGGCACAACUUAUUAUACCUCCUCCCUUUUGGACUUUAGGUUCAACUGACUAGCAUUAUCAUUAAAACAGAGAUCAUAGGAUUAACAAAACAGACUUUUUGCAGCAAUAAGAUACUAAUUUCUGACCUGACUCUGGUCCAGCAUCAUUUGGCAGAUGACAUAUCCUGAAAAAAAUGAAAAUAAUGUACCCCAAAAUACAUUUCUUUGACGUAUUUUGAAAUGGCCUUAUAAAGCCAUUUUUGUUAGUGAAAUUUGCAUACGUAGAGAAUCUCCAUUAAUGCAGGAAGACUUUCCUUUCUACGCCUUUCCCAGGUCUAGGAGAGAGUAAAUGAGAGUCUGACACCCUUAAAUUCUGAAAAGAGACAUUUACCAACUAUUCCCUAUGAAGGCUGCUACCUAUGAGACUUCAUCUACAUAACAAAACCUUAACCUCCACAAUCUCCCUUAUCUUAAGUAUUUCUUUCUAAUUACUUCAAGUACUUAGACAAAACUUAACUUUCUCAACCAAUUGACAAUUAGAGAAUCUUUGAAUUCACCUGUAACCCAUAAACAACCCCCUUCAGCUUCAAAAUAUGCUCUUUAGGUAGUACCAAUGUACACUUCCCAUGUAUUAAUUUUCUAAUUUUACCUACAAUUCCCAUUUUCCUAAAUUGUAUAAAACCAAAUUCUAAGCCAACUUAUUUAGGCACACUUUCUCAGGGCCUCUUGAGACUGUUCCCUGAGCCAUGGUCAGUCAUAUUAGCUAGGAAUAAACCUCUUUAAAUGUAUUACAGAGUUUGGUUUUUCUAUUAACAGGCCUUGUUUCUUAUUGGCUUUAUGCUCCAUUUAUGUAUACAUGUUAAAAAAUUUCCCAGAAAAGCAGGAUGAUUUAAGCACACCUUAUUUUGUUAUGACUGUAAUUACAUCUUAAUACUCUCACAAAUUUAUCCCAGAUUUUCACAGCUAACAAGAUGAAUACAUAACAUAUAGAUCACUGAUUUUUAUUUCACCUACUAUCCAAAUAGUGUAAUAUCAUGUGACUGGAGACUAAAAUUUGUAAGAGAAAACCUUCAGUUUAAAAAAAAUAUAUGUUUUAUAAUACAAAUUCAACAGAAUGAUUGGUGGUGUGUAAAAUAAAACUUAUCUCAUUAUAAAGUAGUGUUUGAUGAUAUAUGAUUUCAUGAAUAUCUUUACAUUGAGCUGUUAAUAAUAAAUAUGUUCAUUCUGGGUGAAAUGAGUCAACAAUGAGGUAUGUCUAUUUUUAAAGUAGGUUUAGAAAUAGAAGGCAAACAGAAGAGCAUUUAAACUGAAAAAUUAUUAGCAUAUAAAGUUUAAUAUCCAUUGGAAUCAGGUGACUUUACCAUUACAUAUUUGUAUAUAUAUAAAGGUGUAGGUUGCUAAAGAAAUAUGAGAAACAUAGAAAUAGCAGGAUGGUUACCUAAAGCUU